rnacentral:rRNA from 1 species
UACGAAGGGGGCUAGCGUUGCUCGGAAUCACUGGGCGUAAAGCGCACGUAGGCGGAUUCUUAAGUCAGGGGUGAAAUCCUGGAGCUCAACUCCAGAACUGCCUUUGAUACUGAGGGUCUUGAGUUCGGGAGAGGUGAGUGGAACUGCGAGUGUAGAGGUGAAAUUCGUAGAUAUUCGCAGGAACACCAGUGGCGAAGGCGGGUCUCUGGACAGUUCCUGACGCUGAGGCACGAAGGUCAGGGGAGCAAACGGG